rnacentral:lncRNA from 1 species
AAUCCACUUCAGAGGAAUAAAAAAAAAGUUAUUAGUUGGAUACUUCAAGAACUGGUGAUUCUUAUUCUCAUGAUAAGAUUUUUAUUGCUGUUGUUUGUUUUUAAAUUUGGCAUUUCUUAUAUUUCAAAACUGUUUGCUGAUUUCCAGGAAAAGCACUUUGUCUAAAAGCACUUCUUAUUGACAAAUGGAACAUUGUGAUAUAUUGUACCACUUAAAAAAAUGUAAUUUAUGUUAAUAUAUUGGAAGGAUUUCAAUGUUGAGAUAUUUCAGUGGUUUCAAAUGUCCACAAAUUCUCCAAUACUUCCCCCUACCAAAGUACAACCUAACUGCCCUCCCCUUGAAUGUAGGUUUGACUGAGUGACUCACUUCUCUUUGAAGAAACAGAACAAAGUGGAAGUGAUAGGAUGUAACUUGGGACGUUAGGUCAUAAAAAUGAUCUCCCAUGGAUCACUCCCUGUGGAGGAAACCACCUGCUGUGUCCUGAAGACAAUCCAGCUUUCUACACAAAGGCCCAUGCUGAGGUAUCUCCUGCCCACAGCUACAUGAGUAGGCAUAGAAGCAGAUCCUCCAGCCCCACUCGAGUUUUCAGACGACUGCAGCCCCGAGCGGCCAGCUGCAACCUCAUGAGACACCCUGAGCCAGAACCAUCCAGCUAAGCUGCUCCCAGAUUCCUGACUAUCCAAAACUGUGAGAUGACAAAGGUUAGUUGUUUUAAGCUUCUAAGUGUUGAGGAAAUCCAUUAUUCAGAGGAGAUAACUGAUACAGAUAAUCAUGGGUUUAUUUUUUUAAUCUAAUUUUAUUUUUUUCUUUGUAGGGCUGCCUCCACAGCAUACAGAGGUUCCCAGAGUAGAGUUCUAAUCGGAGCUACAGCUACCGGCCUACACCACAGCCACAGCAACAUCAGAUCCAAGAUGUGUCUGUGACCUACACCACAGCUCACAGCAACACCGGAUCUUGAACCCACUGAGUGAGCCCAGGGAUCAAACCUGAAUCCUCAUGGACACUAUGUCAGGUUCUUAACCUACUGAGCCACAAUGGAAACUACAAUAUUCAUAGUUUUAAAUCUAUGAUCAUUAAUUUCUAAAAGUGGCAAGAAAACUUGAGGCAAUUAUCAAAGUCAUGGUCUGGAACCCACUUUUCACUAAUGGCAGUGGACAUGAGUGUCAUUCCACUCUGUCAACUAGUUAUAUAACAAAUACUUACUAAAUUGUCUAUUACCAGGCAAUCAUUAUUCUAAGCCUUGGAAAUACAAAGACAAAGAGGAUAGGGUGCAUGUUUUUAAAAGUUUCAAAUCCAGUGUUCUCCACCAUGAGUUAUUUUGUGGAGUUCCCAUUGUGGCACAGCGGAAAUGAAUCUGACUAGGAACCAUGAGGUUGCUGGUUUGAUCCCUGAGUUAACCCUUACUCAGUGGGUUAAGGAUCCGGCGUUGCCAUGAGCUGUGGUGUAGAUUGAAGACGUGGCUCAGAUCCGGCAUUGCUGUGGCUCUGGCGUAGGCUGGCAGCUGUAGCUCUGAUUAGACCCCCAGCCUGGGAACCUCCAUAUGCUGAAAAUGUGGCCCUAAAACCAAAAAAAGAACUAUUUUCUGUUACAGGGAAAGACUAGAGGUGAAAUUCAAGAAAAGGCUCUGUCUGGGCCAAUUAUGAUUUUAGCAGGUAGGGUCCCAAACAAUGCCAGACCUGACAAACAGCUUCAGGCUUUUAAACCAAGGACAGUUGUCUCGGGGUGUGUGACAAAUGGAGUUUUGUGAAAUGGUCUGUCUGCCCACAGUCUAUCAUACAUAAGAACACUGUCAAUAACACCAUCCUCAGGGAUGGAGGACAGUGACAGCAAUGGUAGGGAAAAUAUUCCAUUAGUAAAACGUCCCCUAAUUAAUACUAAUCUGUUCCCUGGAAAAGGUGCUUUAGAGGAAAGAUUCCUCCCCCCACAUGCCAAACUGCUGAGCAUUAAUUUGGAAAAUUUCCCAUUUAGUUUCAAGAACUCUUAAAAAGCUUUGCUUAGUUAAAAACUAAAAAUGGAUCUGUUUCCUAGCUCAAAUAACAUAUAAAGAUGAGAUUUAUUUCAUAGGCAGCAUCAAUUCCUAAUUGAGCAUAUCAGUUCAAAGUACCUAUAUUCUCUUAUUCUCUGAAUUGACAUUCACUAUUCCCUCUUUCUCUUUAUCAUAAAAAUGCAUUUAUUAAGUACUCAGUUGCAUGUAAUCUUAGAAACUGGGAUACAACCACUGAUGUGGCCCUUGGCUUCCCUAAAACCUUGACAGCCAUGUCAGAUAAAAUUAGCAGGAAACAAAAAAUGCAGAAAGAACAGUGAGCGUAUCGUCACAUCAAUUCAUUUGGGAAACAGAAAUUUUAGGGUCAACUGGACAAUAUAAAGCACCAUGAAAGUGACACGCUGGUAGCUGACAUGAUGUGUCAACUAGGAAUCAUAGACUCAAUAAUUUGUCAAGUUCUCUUCAGCCUCGGGGC